rnacentral:rRNA from 1 species
GACGUAGGGCGCGAGCGUUGUCCGGAUUUAUUGGGCGUAAAGAGCUCGUAGGCGGCUUGUCGCGUCGACUGUGAAAACCCGCGGCUCAACCGUGUGGUCUGCAGUCGAUACGGGCAGGCUAGAGUUCGGUAGGGGAGACUGGAAUUCCUGGUGUAGCGGUGAAAUGCGCAGAUAUCAGGAGGAGCACCGGUGGCGAAGGCGGCUUGCUGGGCCAGUUCUGACGCUGAGGAGCGAAAGCGUGGGGAGCGAACAGG